AUUGAACGCUGGCGGCAUGCUUUACACAUGCGAGUCGGACGGCAGCACAGAGACGCUUGCUUCUUGGGUGGCGAGUGGCGAACGGGUGAGUAACAUAUCGGAACGUACCGAGCAGUGGGGGAUAACUAAUCGAAAGAUUAGCUAAUACCGCAUAUCUUCUGAGGAAGAAAGCAGGGGACCAUUUGGCCUUGCGCUGUUUGAGCGGCCGAUAUCUGAUUAGCUAGUUGGUGGGGUAAAGGCCUACCAAGGCGACGAUCAGUAGCGGGUCUGAGAGGAUGAUCCGCCACACUGGGACUGAGACACGGCCCAGACUCCUACGGGAGGCAGCAGUGGGGAAUUUUGGACAAUGGGCGCAAGCCUGAUCCAGCCAUGCCGCGUGUCUGAAGAAGGCCUUCGGGUUGUAAAGGACUUUUGUCAGGGAAGAAAAGGGCGGGGUUAAUACCCCUGUCUGAUGACGGUACCUGAAGAAUAAGCACCGGCUAACUACGUG
rnacentral:rRNA from 1 species